rnacentral:lncRNA from 1 species
GGGGUACCAAAUAUCUGAAAUAAAAAGAUAUCUGUCUACACAGUGGGAGAAGGAGGAUCCGCAGCCGAUACUAGGUCUGUCAGAACUUUGACUUUGAACUUUGAGCGUCUGGAUCUAUAAGAAAUGAAUGUUCUGUUUUUACCGACCCUAGAUAUCAGAUCCUAUUCUAGCAGAGCAAACUGGUUAAGACAAAGGGCCUCUUGAUAUAAACAUUGCUCAACUGCAGCAGAAAAUACAUGUUUUUGCAUGUAUGGGUCCUUGUCUGUCAAAUCUCAAAAGAUGCUAUCUUCCAUCUUCAUUUUAGGUCUAACAAAGCUGUGGCACCUUCUUUGCUGUCUCUUCAUCUUGUAC